rnacentral:rRNA from 1 species
UACGUAGGGUGCGAGCGUUAAUCGGAAUUACUGGGCGUAAAGCGUGCGCAGGCGGUUUUGUAAGCCGGAUGUGAAAUCCCCGGGCUUAACCUGGGAAUGGCAUUCGGGACUGCAAGGCUGGAGUGCGGCAGAGGAGACUGGAAUUCCUGGUGUAGCAGUGAAAUGCGUAGAUAUCAGGAGGAACACCGAUGGCGAAGGCAGGUCUCUGGGCCGAUACUGACGCUGAGGAGCGAAAGCGUGGGGAGCAAACAGG